rnacentral:lncRNA from 1 species
UAGGGGGAGGUGGGGGAGCCAGCGCAGAGAUGGUAGUAGAUGCAGUACGAUGAUAAGUGGUGAGGUCUGGUCACAGUGGUGAGUUUCAAGGGUUUGCUGCCUUUAUUCCUAAAAUGGUUUAUUCAGUGCCAAAGUUGUAAGUACACUUCUGACACGAGCUGUGUUUAACAGUGGCUCCUGCCAUUCCUGAAGAUUCCAGCAUGGCUUUCACGGUGGAUGGCAGCCAGCCCAGUGCCCUCUCCACUUCCAGGCUCUGUGCUUGGAACCCAGAAGUUAAACUGAGAAAAGACAGACUAACAGCUUAUGCCCUGUUUCAUAAAUGUUUGAAUGACAUGUGGGAGUUUAGAAAGAAAUGUUACCCAAGGGGGGCAGUGAGAACUGGGGACGUAAUACCAUCAUGGGCUGGACAAAGGAAAGGUGUCUGGGGCGAGUAGGUCAGGAAAGCCCAGUGAAUGAGGGUGUUUAGGGAAGUUUGUGAUGUGGAUUCAAGUUGGUGAUUUUUUUUUUAAUUGAUGAGCAUUAUCAAGCAGCCUCCUCUUCCACAUAUGGAAGAAGAGGUCCCUACAAGCAGGCAUUUCCUUUAUCAAUGGAGAUUUCCUUUACGGAAGGGAUGCUUGAGUCCUGUUCUCAAGUUUCCUGAGUCUGCUGGUUCUUAGCGGCCUUCUGCUCAGAAAUAUCCUUAACACCAAACAGGCACAUUUUGGGUUGGUGAGUUCUGGUUUCUUCAUUUGAAACUCAGAGGUUCUCCCUUAAAAGAAAAAUGGGGAAUCCCUAUGAGAGACCAGGAGUCACCUGACCCCCUCGGUCUGGGAUCAUUGAGACCUGGCCCAACUUGGAUAGGAUCCAGGAGGGCACAGCUUCCAGGCAGUACUCCAUUGGCUGUAGUACUGAAGGGGGCCCAGUGAGGUGGGUGGUUGAGAGGGGCACAGGCCCGCCCCUGUUCUCCUAAUAAGGACAUCAGAGUUGUCCCUGCAAUGGGGCUGACCACACUCCCCCUUGGGGCCCCUGUGAUGCAGCCAUCCCAUGCUGCAGAGGCCUGAGAGUGGGGUUUUGGAGUCCGAACCCUGGCCCCAAUCCACCAGCAUUUCAGAAACUUGCAUGUGGGCUGUGCGGGCCAUCCUAGCUAGAUGGCACUGGGAUGGAAUCACUUCUGUGUGUGCCAUGUGGCAGCGUCCAGCUCCAGCCCCCUGGACACUUGCUGCCUGAAUGUCACACACCUCCCUGGUGGCCUGGGGUCCCACGCUUAUGCCCAGGGGGACAUUUAUGAGACAGGGCAUAAGCUGAGAGAGCCAUGGGACAGGCUAUGAGAGAAGAUGGAGGCAGAGGGUGCUAGUCGAAUAUCUCAUAGAUGGGGAGAGGGUUGGUUGGUCUCUGUUGCUGCUGAGACAGAACAAGAACAAAGGGGGGUUGACUCUUGGUGUACUCGAUGCUGUGCAGGGCAUGAAAGAUCUUCCUCUACUCUCUUAUGUUCUGUACCCAGGAUCUGCAAAUUAAACUGACAACAGAUUAACAGGAGCAAAAGGUUUAUUAUGUCUGUGUACAGAGGCCUUCACAGAAAAGAAGUGGAGAUGCAAAGAGAUAGUUAGAUAGGGUUUACGUGCCGUGUGACAAAGGGUGAUCAAUUUCUGGAGAAGAGACAAGACAAAGGAAAGCAGCUUUCAGUUUCUUGGGGCAGUAAGUUGUGGGAAGGUAAAUAAACAGGGGGACAUAAUGGAAGACAGAGCUGAUUCAGUGAGGUUUGUUACACAGACUGAAGUUGGUACCUUCUCAGAUGAUAAGAUCCUUUCUCCCCUUCCUGGUACAGGAGAGGGAGGGGACCAACCUCACAAAGGAUCAGGCAGGUGGAGGGGGGCAGUUUUUCCUUUUGCUGCUUCUCAAGCCUUCAACUCAAAGUAACGCUUGGGCCAAUGCGGCAUAUUUGGGGUGGCAAAUUCUGAACCCUCUCUGCCUCUACACGAAGAGGUUCUAACAGCUGGAGAUGGUACCGGUGGAUGGACCCCCUCCAGCCUAGAAGGAAUACCUCCCCACCAGAGGAGAGGGUCCAGAAUGUGGGGCGGAUGGCCAACACGCUGCGUGGUUAACAUGGGCCCUGAGUGCCUCACAUGCUUUAACUUGCGGGAGCCUCCCUAUGAUCUGUGAGAUGGGCCCUAUUACCAAUCCCAUUUUACAGGUGAGAAACCAAGGCACAGGCAGAUGGCUCACUGGUGGUGGAGCUCAAGUACAAACCCAGCUCUCCACCACCUCUCCACAGACGAUGGUGUCUGUGUUUCCUGGGGCCGCUGUAACAAACACCACGGAUGAGGUGGUUAAACAAUAGACAUGUAUUGACUCACAGGUUCCAAAGGCUGGAGCUCCGAGUUCAACGUGUUGGCAGGGUUGGUUUCUCUGUGGCCUCCCUCUUUGGCAUGGAGACAGUCAUCUUCCUGCUGCGUCCUCUUUCAAACAGAACCAGAGCCAGAUGGUCUUUAAAGCAGCCCACACAGAUUUUAUUCAGCAGCUAUUGCAAUGGAGGAAAAAAACCUCUGUAGAGAGCCAGGCUCCAUCUAGAAUGCAGAGUGGGCAAGGGGUUUACAGCCAGCGAGCAGAAGGAGGGAGCAGUGGUGAACGCUGGCUAAGGUAGACAUCUGGGGUCAGUGGGGAUUCAGGCUAAACUGACCUGCCAGGAUCGUUGCGAUAAGUCAUCGCCUGGGGGAGGUGGAGGACGAGGAACCAAUCAGAUAGCCCAGGUGAUCAGGUACUUGGGGUGAGCAGGUGUCUGGGGUGACCACAUAUCGAGGGAGGGUCUCUCUGCAGAGGAGGAAGGAUCUUUCUCUGCUCAUCUUGGUUCUUCAGCUGGGGCCCCACACACGAGACUGGCCAAGGACAGAUCAACAAGAGAAAGACACACACAAGUUCAUUAGAAUAGUGUUAGUCCACAGAAGCUUUCAUGACGUUGCACAUGUGCAUGGGGGCAUCCAGUGAUGAUCACCCCAAGAGUGAAUAGAGCUGGGCCUUGUCACCCCUCAUGGGCUGCACAAAGGAAAGGGGUCUGGGCUUGUUUUGAGGGGGAGAAAGUUACAGAAAGGCAGCCAGAAAACCAUGGUGAACAAGGGUGUUUAGUGGGGUUUGUUCAAUGGGCACCCCCUCUGUAAAUGUGAAAUUCCUUUGCAGAAGGAAUGCCUGUGCCCUGUUCUAGAGCUUUCCCUACAUCUGCUAUUUCUUGGUGGCCUUUAACCCAAAGUAAUCCACAUGCCAAAGAGGCACAUUCUGGGGUGGCGUGUUCUGGUGCCCUCACUUCUGCAUUCAGCAGGAUUUUUGCUGAGACUGGGCUGUGCAGGCCCAGCAAGGAUGUGGCCAAGGUCAAGGCCAAGGACUGGGACUGGGUGAGAUAUGGCUGAGGAGAGUCUUGGUCACUUUGUGUGGUCCUGGGCAUGUGCCUGGUGUCUCCAUGGCCUGAUCCCCUCUUCUUAUAAGGACACUUGUCCUAUGGGAUCUGUUACCUCAGAGUAAAGGGGGAUUGUGGUCCUCCUCCCACCCCCCAUGGAAAGAAACAUUCACAUCCUGACCCCAGGGCCUCAGGACAUAAUGUCACUUGGAGUCGGGCCUCGUCCUGUAAGUAGUUAAGACAAGGGCAUUAGGGUGGCU